rnacentral:lncRNA from 1 species
UUUGUUACUCUUUGUUCGAUUUGUAUUUAAUUUAUAUUGUUUUAUCAAUUUACAUUAUUUUAAGAAGGAUAACUUAAAACAGGAUUAAACAUAGGAAGUAACUAGAAAUUUCUGUUAAGUGUUUUUAAUCACACAAAGCUUAAGUAGUACGAUGUUUGACACCACAGCUGACAAGUGAAGCCAUUUGAUUUCUCAUGGUCUGUGAUUUACAGGUAACAUAACCCUCAUCAGUGACACAAAAACGGAGUAAAUUUUCACCUGUCGUUCAAGGUUGAAAUAUCCAAAGGAGGGAUGUUCUGUACUCCCGUACAAGAGAUUUCCCGAAUUUUGUCAUUUGAACGGGAGGGCUGGCAGUUAUACAUAUAAAUAUAAAUAUAUAUAUCGCACAGCCAAAUGUUUGGAUCUUCGAAAAAAUAGUAGUGCAUAUUAACU